UUGAGGGCAAAAUGGUCAAUA
rnacentral:siRNA from 1 species